UAACAGUUUUUGGUGACACACAUGAUGGCAACAAUGAACACUUUGUGGCACGAUGACCUCUAUGAAAAAGAGAGAUAUACAGGUUUUGCUUUUGUUCACUCAACUAAUUACCAACCUUUCAUUAUACCUCUACUCGGACAUCUAAACUUCAGUUAAGCUCUAUGUUUAAGUGGGAUGGAUCUUCAAUUUGCCUACCUAAGGAUUUGAAGUCAGGUUUACAGAGGCAUCAUUUUACAAUUAUCAACUUUGAUAAAUGCAGAUUGUCAUGGAACUACCACCAGAAUCCAGAUAGAGAACAUGCUAUCAUCCCUGUUAUAUCCCUUUGUGGCUAAUCUACCACACUGUUCCAUCCACCAAAGUCCCUAGAAGCCACUGAUCUGUUUUAUGUCCCUCUGGUUUUGUCUUUUUCAAAGUCUGAAAUAAAUGGAAUUGUGGAGUGUGUA